GAUGAACGCUGGCGGCGUGCCUAAUACAUGCAAGUAGAACGCUGAAGCUUGGUGCUUGCACCGAGCGGAUGAGUUGCGAACGGGUGAGUAACGCGUAGGUAACCUGCCUGGUAGCGGGGGAUAACUAUUGGAAACGAUAGCUAAUACCGCAUAACAGUAGAUGUUGCAUGACAACUAUUUGAAAGGGGCAAUUGCUCCACUACCAGAUGGACCUGCGUUGUAUUAGCUAGUUGGUGAGGUAACGGCUCACCAAGGCGACGAUACAUAGCCGACCUGAGAGGGUGAUCGGCCACACUGGGACUGAGACACGGCCCAGACUCCUACGGGAGGCAGCAGUAGGGAAUCUUCGGCAAUGGACGGAAGUCUGACCGAGCAACGCCGCGUGAGUGAAGAAGGUUUUCGGAUCGUAAAGCUCUGUUGUAAGAGAAGAACGAGUGUGAGAGUGGAAAGUUCACACUGUGACGGAACUACCAGAAAGGCG
rnacentral:rRNA from 1 species